rnacentral:rRNA from 1 species
GACGAACGCUGGCGGCGUGCUUAACACAUGCAAGUCGAACGGAAAGGCCCUGCUUUUGUGGGGUGCUCGAGUGGAAAGCGGGUGAGUAACAUGUGAGUACCCUCCCCUUGACUUUGGGAUAACUUGGGGAAAGUGGGGCUAAUACCGGAUAGGAGCUCCUGCUGCAUGGUGGUGGUUGGAAAGUUUCGGCGGUUGGGGUUGGACCCGCGACUAAUCGGCUUGUGGGGGGGGGAGUGGCUUACCAAGGCUUUGCCGGGUAGCCGGCCUGAGGGGGUGACCGGCCACAUGGGGCCUGGGAUAGGGCCCGGACUCCUCCGGGGGGCAGCGGGGGGGAAUAUGGCAAAAUGGGCGGAAGCCGAUUGCGGCAACGCGCGGGGCGGGAGGACGGCUUUCGGGUUGAAAACCGCUUUCGCCGGUGAGGAAGCGUGAGUGACGGUAAUUGGUAAAGAAGCACCGGCUAACUACGUG